AUAUAUAUACUCCUUUUAUAAUUGAAAGUCAAUUGAGUUUUGAGUAAUUUCUUUUAUUUCCAAUUAAAAGAAAAAAGUAUUUGUUUGACAAAUAAAUGGCUUCUCACAUAUGGUGAAGUGCCAUCAUCUUCGAAAACGAGAUGCUACUUUGAAAGUCGAAGAGUUGGAUGGAUUUCAAGUAGCUGCGUGGAGUGUGGACAUCUUCUAGAGCAACUCAUAAGAUGAUAUCGAGAGCAAGGCGGAGAGAGAAGAAAAAAGAAGAGAAAACUUCAGCGGUUGAUCGGUGUGGGGUUCAGCAGUCUGCUCUUCUAUCUGUGGGUGGAGGAGCUUGCUGUUGUUAGUCUGUAAGGUUUUUGUUUAGAUUUUGUUGAAUUUUUCUUUAAAUUUUAUUUAAUUGUUUAUUUUAGAGAUGAAUUCAAGCGAUCGUUCUUUAAUGUUGUCGUGGACCGGUGAUUGAUUCGACACCAAAAUUUAUUGACUCCGUCGGUUGUUUAUGACUAGCUGAGACUAAAAUCGUCUUGGGCCGGAGUCCAUCCAGUAACUGUUUGGCGAUGGCUCUUGGAGUCUGCAUUGGUGAUUUUUCUAGUUUGCAGUUUUGGUCUUUUUCAUCCAUGUGUUUUUGUUUCUGUUAUUAAGUGACUUUUCCUUCUUUAUUUUGUGAUGGCUCCUUUCUCUAGACAGAUCUACGUGCUUAUUGAUCGAUGGAUAAGGAUUAAUUGUUUGUUAAAUUGUUGAAACCGGUAAAUUGUUGGAAUUCUUAUUGUGAACUUCUAUAAUCUUAGAUCAUUUUCUUUUUAUUAUUUUAUUAAAAUUUUAUACUGUUAUUCAGUAGAAUUUUUAAUAUAAAUACUCUUGUAUGGUAAAAAAAGAAAAAAAAAAAGUGUGGAGUGUGGACGGAGAGAUAUGGGUGACGAUAUGGUCAUGGCAUGGAUAAUCAAGUUGAAAUACAUUAAUUAAUUUAUAAAAGCAUGUAAUGAGUCUUAACACAUAAUGUUGAAGACACAGAAUCAAG
rnacentral:lncRNA from 1 species